rnacentral:rRNA from 1 species
AACGAACGCUGGCGGCGUGCUUAAGACAUGCAAGUCGUACGGAAAGGCCCCUUCGGGGGUACUCGAGUGGCGCACGGGUGAGUAACGCGUGGAUAAUCUGCCUUUGGGUUUGGGACAACCCCGGGAAACUGGGGCUAAUACCGAAUAAGACUACGACGUCCUUGGACGAUGUGGAAAAAGAUGGCCUCUCGUAGAAGCUAUCGCCCAUUGAUGAGUCCGCGUCCCAUUAGCUUGUUGGUGAGGUAACGGCUCACCAAGGCAACUAUGGGUAGCUGGUCUGAGAGGAUGAUCAGCCACACUGGAACUGAGACACGGUCCAG